GCAGGGUCUUACUUACGAGGGAGCGAGCGUCACAAAGCCUGUUGCGCCAAGGGCCUUCCAGCGCCAGCCAGCGUCACAAGGCCCGACCCCGAGGGCCCCGCCCCCUGGGCUCUGGGCUCCGCCCAAAGCCCGCCCCCCUCCUCUGCAGCCUCAGAUGCCGGCAGGUGCUUCCCGCCUACAGGGGACCCCAUUCCUUUGCUCUGGAAACAAAAACGUCCGUAACUUGUUGAGAGCGCCCGAGCCCCAUGACUUAGAAAUCUAAGGUUCCCCCUGUCUUCCAAGCAGCAUGUGAUCCCUCCAGAUCCUUCAAAUUGGCCCAUGUUUGUGGCUGGUCAGUAGCACAGAGCAUGACCUCUGAGUUUUGUCCCCCCCCCGAGCCGAACAGAAAGGCUAACCCGGGUGUGUCUGGAACUUUUCCUCCCUCCACACGAAGGUCCUCCAUUGUGAUGUGGAGAAAUCAUCUGUCAUUGCCUAGCAAGUGAAGCCCUUGUCUACACUUAGGGAGAACCCACCUGCCAGAGGCCGUCUUUCCCCAUCUCCUCAGAUGCUUGGAUGCAGCCACGUUUCGAGUUUCCUGUUAAUCAAUCAGAUGUCUCCAGCCCACACUUUGGAAAGAAAGUUCCUGACAACUUCUCUGCUACAUUAGCCAGAUUGAGUUUGUGUUGUGUGAAAUAAAAGCCUUGACUGACAGGUUAA